rnacentral:rRNA from 1 species
UAGGGAAUCUUCGGCAAUGGACGAAAGUCUGACCGAGCAACGCCGCGUGAGUGAAGAAGGUUUUCGGAUCGUAAAACUCUGUUGUUAGAGAAGAACAAGGACGUUAGUAACUGAACGUCCCCUGACGGUAUCUAACCAGAAAGCCACGGCUAACUACGUGCCAGCAGCCGCGGUAAUACGUAGGUGGCAAGCGUUGUCCGGAUUUAUUGGGCGUAAAGCGAGCGCAGGCGGUUUCUUAAGUCUGAUGUGAAAGCCCCCGGCUCAACCGGGGAGGGUCAUUGGAAACUGGGAGACUUGAGUGCAGAAGAGGAGAGUGGAAUUCCGUGUGUAGCGGUGAAAUGCGUAGAUAUAUGGAGGAACACCAGUGGCGAAGGCGGCUCUCUGGUCCGUAACUGACGCUGAGGCUCGAAAGCGUGGGGAGCAAACAGG